UUACUACUCUCUCCGUCCCAAAAUUCUUUUCUUAGAUUUGCCUAGUUUUUGCGGAUGUAUCUAAUACUAAAACGUGACUUGAUACACACGUAUUUAGACAAAUCUAAGACAAGAAUUUUGUGGCGGAGGGAGUACUAG
rfam:Triticum aestivum genome assembly, contig: Triticum_aestivum_CS42_TGACv1_scaffold_641734_T_7BS-0.186592_3DL-0.130129